GGUAGAAACGAGGAGUUCUAGCAAAAUGGCUCUGGCUUUGAAGUGGCUAGCAUUUCUCGUCCUGCUCAUUUUUGUGAUUGCCGAGAAUGGCAAUGUGGUUCUUGGCAGCAGAGAUUUGACUGGAAUCGACUGUUGAGGAAACUGCAAGUACCGAUGCUCUCUAACUCAUGGGAGCCCGAGAUGUGCAACAAGAUGUGUAACAUAUGUUGUAGCAAGUGCUUUUGCG